UAUCUGAACACACAAGGAAACUAUAAUCUCCUCCUUCACCUUAUCAGUCUCUUCCUUACAACAAUUCAGUCAUACCAAUAACUGCUAUUUCUAUCAAUAUAUUCACCCUCAUAAUCUCCAACUGUAAUACUACGCCCUUACAGCUUUCAACACACAAUUACCCUCAUUCCAAUCUCUGCAAUUCUUCAAACAUAAUUGCCAUUCACAUUACAGUGUUUCGCACAAAUACAGACUCAUUCUCUCUGUUGAACUACAAUCAGAUUUCAACAUUCAAUCUUUCUUCUUUUCAAAUAAUACCAAUCACAUUUCCAUUCCAUAAUUCACUUCACAAUAUUCAAAAACUUUCAAUCCUCUUAUUCAAAGAAAAUAACAAACAAAAGAAAAGAGGUAGCACCAAGCUUACCCCGGCUCA
rnacentral:lncRNA from 1 species